rnacentral:misc_RNA from 1 species
CUACGAUUACUCUCAUACUCUAUGUAUGGUAUUAUCAUAUCGACGCUAUCAGUUCUUACAGUAUCACGAUCAGAGUCAAUUUUAGAAUAGAAGAAGCAAUUAACGGCGGAUCGCAAAGUAAGAAGCUUAUAACAUAAUUGGCAAGGAAGUCGGAUUUUCCGGAUUCACAGACACGAAGCUCGAAUUAUUCCUGAUCGACCACCACUUUUCGUUUUUCGGCUGAAACAUCACAUACUGGCCAUUCGUCAGCGGCUGAACGAAGAACGAUCUCUGCCCGAUCAACAUCAAGGCGUACACUUCUUCUUCGCAUAUCGUCACGACGACGAAGGAACUCGCGUCUCCUUCCAAGCUGCCUUGUCGAAGAUCGCA